rnacentral:tRNA from 1 species
GCCCCAGUGGCCUAAUGGAUAAGGCACUGGCCUCCUAAGCCAGGGAUUGUGGGUUUGAGUCCCGUCUGGGGUGAUUCA